GAAGGUUGAGUCAGCACAUGCUUUCUUUCCAUCUCUAUACUCUCCGCAAGCUAUCAGUCUGCUGAGGAUAGCAUUACCUGCCCAACCCCAUAUAAGUAUUCUCUGGACUUUAGAGAAGGUUUGGGCUAGAAAGGGCACCAAGUGUCUUUGGCAGCAGCAGAAAAUGCUUACAAGCUCAAGGUGAAAGAGAACCAGUCCUGACAACCCUGUACAGCUGAGGGGUGAAGACAAGUUUGGCUGCAAAAAAUCCCAGCUCAUCUUCUUAUAGCAAUUUCUGCUCUAAGCAAUGAGCCACCAGCUUCCUGUAGCAGGACUGGGGACAAACUGAAGAACAAGGUCAAAUCCAACAGCAUCAAUAACCUCCAUUCCUACCUAACCCGAGGAAACAAGUAUGAUCCAGCUCUUCAACAGCAGCCUCUAAGACUUCUCCAGUCAAGGGUACAGUGUCCUUUGUGAGCUAACCCAGGAAAGUCGACCUAUCAUGAGGAAAAUGGAGAAGACAAAAAUCCACAGAAACUAUUGUUCUAAACAGCAAGAGGAAAAAAGCAGAGGCAAAAUUCUCUUGGGCUACAGCAAAAAUCUCAGCUAAAAAGGAAAGCCCUAACAACUCUCAGGGUUGCUGAGAUACAACAAACUGGACUUCAAAUCCUCCAACUUCGGACCAUGACUGAUUGAGAAAAGAGCAGAGAAGCUCCCCUCAACCCCCUCCUGUCAAACGUCCAAGCAGAAAGAUACUAUUCACCAAAAUGUAUCACACCAUGUUGCAGUGCCACCAAGAAAGAUAAACUUCUCAAUUUUCCUGGAAUAAAAGUCCAACUGAGAAAAAGCUCCAGGCUUCGGUCUCAAUCCAAAGACACAGAAAGGAAGUGCCCAGGCAGCAACCGCAAGGAGCCAGAUUUGGUAUCCAAAGACUGGCAAGAACAGGAGGGGAGAUGGAUGGGCUGGGGCUGCGGGGAAGGUGUCCAUCGGAAAGCAGAAGUCUUGACUACCAUUUGUUCUGUCAUCCUAACCACCAACUGGAUGGGGCCAGUAGAAAUUUAGUGCCAUAACCUGGAAUUUGGGCAUUUAAAUAUUAUUUCUCACUCCUUGUGCUUUCAAUUCAUUCCUGGCCAGA